UGCGGGAGUGCCGCAAGGAACGACAAGACAGGUGCUGCAUGGCUGUCGUCAGCUCGUGUCGUGAGAUGUUGGGUUAAGUCCCGCAACGAGCGCAACCCUUGUCCUUAGUUGCCAGCACGUAAUGGUGGGAACUCUAAGGAGACUGCCGGUGACAAACCGGAGGAAGGUGGGGAUGACGUCAAGUCCUCAUGGCCCUUACGGCCAGGGCUACACACGUACUACAAUGGUCGGUACAGAGGGUCGCGAAGCCGCAAGGUGGAGCCAAUCCCAGAAAACCGAUCCCAGUCCGGAUUGGAGUCUGCAACUCGACUCCAUGAAGUUGGAAUCGCUAGUAAUCGCGAAUCAGCUAUGUCGCGGUGAAUACGUUCCCGGGCCUUGUACACACCGCCCGUCACACCAUGGGAGUGGGUUCUACCAGAAGUAGGUAGGCUAACCGCAAGGAGGCCGCUUACCACGGUAGGAUUCAUGACUGGGGUGAAGUCGUAACAAGGUAACCGUAA
rnacentral:rRNA from 1 species